rnacentral:rRNA from 1 species
GCAACGCGCAGAACCUUACCAACCCUUGACAUCCCCGGACCGCACCAGAGAUGGUGCUUCCCCAUUCGGGGCCGGGAGACAGGUGCUGCAUGGCUGUCGUCAGCUCGUGUCGUGAGAUCGUUCGGUUAAGUCCGGCAACGAGCGCAACCCACACUUCCAGUUGCCAUCAUUCGGUUGGGCACUCUGGAAGAACUGCCGAUGAUAAGUCGGAGGAAGGUGUGGAUGACGUCAAGUCCUCAUGGCCCUUACGGGUUGGGCUACACACGUGCUACAAUGGCGGUGACAAUGGGUUAAUCCCCAAAAGCCGUCUCAGUUCGGAUUGGGGUCUGCAACUCGAAGAGCAUGAAGUCGGAAUCGCUAGUAAUCGCGGAUCAGCAUGUCGCGGUGAAUACGUUCCCGGGUCUU